GGGGACGCGCACGCUGCCCUCUGACCCCGUAGAGAGGUGGCGGAGAGUAGGGUCUGGAGGGAGCCCCUGCAGUGGCGAGUCCUGCCGUUGGAUUCCCGUGGCGCCCGUUGAGGCUCCGCCCGGGCGGUGCUACCAACACUGUUCGAUUUUAGAAUCCUGCAUUCCUACAGGGAAUCCUAGACCCCUCAUUUUACAGUUGAGGUAACGGGCCCAAGUAAUAUGACUUGUUCUCGCCGCUACUCGGAGAAGCAGCCCCAGUUUCUUGACUCCAGGGCACUGCUUUCGCGUUAGCUCGUUUGUGGAGGAAAUGGGUCAGCCCUCGCUGGACCCUCGGUGAUUGCCACCACAGGCCUUCCCGCCGGCUAACUCAGCGUGCCCCAGGCCCGUGACUUAAUGCCAAGACGGUGCUGUGGCCCGUUAUCCCCUGUCGGGUUUUAGCUCCCCCGGGAAGGAGCUCAGCUCUGGAUCCCGGCGGGUAGCGGAGCCUAUCUGGAGCUGGGACGGGGCAGCCCACCAGGGUCUGCUUCUGUGAGGGGCUGAGGCGUCAUUACGCGAAGAUGAGAUCAACAUUUAAAUCAGUAGAUUUUGAGUAAAGCAGAUUACUUUCCAUAAUGUGGGUAGGUCUCAUCCAAUCAGUGGAAGGCCUUAAGAGAAAAAGAUGAACUUACUGCAAGAGGGAUUUCUGCCAGCAGAAUGUCUUCAAACUUGAGCUGCAAUACCAACUCUUCCUUGGCGCUUUAGCCCAUCCUGCAGAUUUGACCUUGUCAAGACUCCACAAUCAUAGUGCCUGGGAAGAAUUGAGAAGACAUGAAAACAUGGAUUUUACUUGAUCAAAAAUUAGUAAUCCUGCUGUCAACUCAUAUUGACUUUCAAUGUCUUGAGCAUUGUUUCAUCUGGCUGAAAAAAUGAAUUUUGGACAAAUGAGAAAUAAAUGCUAAAUUAGAGUCCAA